rnacentral:rRNA from 1 species
UACGUAGGGCGCAAGCGUUGUCCGGAAUUAUUGGGCGUAAAGAGCUCGUAGGCGGCCUGUUGCGUCCGCUGUGAAAUCCCCCGGCUCAACCGGGGAACGGGCACCGAUACGGGCGGCCUCGAGGGGGGUAGGGGGACCUGGAACUUCCGGUGGAGCGGUGAAAUGCGUUGAGAUCGGAAGGAACGCCCGUGGCGAAAGCGAGGUCCUGGACCCUUUCUGACGCUGAGACGCGAAAGCCAGGGGAGCGAACGGG